rnacentral:rRNA from 1 species
AUGGUUUGGAUGGGGCUGGGUUCCUACAACGACGGCAACAGAGGCGACAAACACCACUUUGCAACCUCGCCGAACUGUGUUGCUGAACUGAAGUUUAGGGACAGCAGCAGUUUUACCACCGAUGGUGUUGCAUGUAAGCUGGAUGUUCUCAUUGUUCUGUUGGCUCUGAUCGGUGUGUAUGCUAUGAAGUUAAGGUUCUUAAGAUUAAUGAUGUUUAUAGAAGUGAUGCAGGAUGUGAGGUACAACUAUCAAAGUGACAUUAAUUUUGGUUCUGAUUCCUAUCCGCAGCCUCUUCUACACUAG